AGUGAACGCUGGCGGUAGGCCUAACACAUGCAAGUCGAACGGCAGCACAGUAAGAGCUUGCUCUUACGGGUGGCGAGUGGCGGCCGGGUGAGGAAUACAUCGGAAUCUACUUUUUCGUGGGGGAUAACGUAGGGAAACUUACGCUAAUACCGCAUACGACCUACGGGUGAAAGCAGGGGAUCUUCGGACCUUGCGCGAUUGAAUGAGCCGAUGUCGGAUUAGCUAGUUGGCGGGGUAAAGGCCCACCAAGGCGACGAUCCGUAGCUGGUCUGAGAGGAUGAUCAGCCACACUGGAACUGAGACACGGUCCAGACUCCUACGGGAGGCAGCAGUGGGGAAUAUUGGACAAUGGGCGCAAGCCUGAUCCAGCCAUACCGCGUGGGUGAAGAAGGCCUUCGGGUUGUAAAGCCCUUUUGUUGGGAAAGAAAAGCAGCAGGUUAAUACCCCGCUGUUCCGACGGUACCCAAAGAAUAAGCACCGGCUAACUUCGUG
rnacentral:rRNA from 1 species